CCCCCCCCGCCACCAUCCCUCCGCCCACUCAGGAGAGCAAAUGCCUUUCUCCAGAGUUCAAGAGAUCCUGCAGAGAAAAUUAGCAGUGACAGCCAGGCCACCCUGCUUCCAGGUUCUUCUCUAAAGGGUGGAUUGAAACUGAUUCCUCACCACCUCAUUCCCUGCAGGCCCGCUCACUUCCAGGAACCCCAGUUCCUCUCACAGAAAAUGAACUGCCUGCUUAAAUCAAUCCAACACAGUUAAGGAAGGAUGAG
rnacentral:lncRNA from 1 species